GUGUCAGCCGCCGCGGUAAUACGGAGGGUGCGAGCGUUAAUCGGAAUUACUGGGCGUAAAGCGCAUGCAGGUGGUUUGUUAAGUCAGAUGUGAAAGCCCGGGGCUCAACCUGGGAACUGCAUCUGAUACUGGCAAGCUUGAGUCUCGUAGAGGGGGGUAGAAUUCCAGGUGUAGCGGUGAAAUGCGUAGAGAUCUGGAGGAAUACCAGUGGCGAAGGCGGCCCCCUGGACGAAGACUGACGCUCAGGUGCGAAAGCGUGGGGAGCAAACAGGAUUAGAAACCCCGGUAGUCC
rnacentral:rRNA from 1 species